rnacentral:rRNA from 1 species
AGCCUUUAGAGAGGAUUAAAGGUUAUACCUGCCCAAUGUUAUAUUAAUGGCCGCGGUACUUUGACCGUGCUAAGGUAGCACAAUCAAUUGGCCCUUAAUUAGGGUCAGGCAUGAAUGGAGUUACGGGGCUUAGCUGUCUCUAAACUAUUUAAUUGAAGUUGCUGUAUAGGUGAAAAAGCCUAUAUUAAGAAAAAAGACGAGAAGACCCUUAGAGUUUUACUUAAAAAAGAGUUAUUUCUUUACUAGUUUUGUUGGGGCAACAUAGGAGAAGAAUUAAACCUCCUAAAAGAUAUAAACCGAUGUUUUUAAAUAUGGACAAACUACCUUAGGGAUAACAGCAUAAUUUUAAAAGUAAGUUUGUGACCUCGAUGUUGGACUAGGGAACUUAAGGGCUAGCCGCCUUUUGGUAAGGUUCUGUUCGAACUAUAAUUCCU